rnacentral:rRNA from 1 species
CAACAAUAAGCGGAGGAAAAGAAACCAACAGGGAUUGCCUCAGUAACGGCGAGUGAAGCGGCAACAGCUCAAAUUUGAAAUCUGGCUCCUUCGGGGCCCGAGUUGUAAUUUGCAGAGGAUGCGUCGGGUACGGGUGCCUUCCGAGUUCCCUGGAACGGGACGCCAUAGAGGGUGAGAGCCCCGUCUGGUAGGAUACCCAGCCCGUGUGACGCUCCCUCGACGAGUCGAGUAGUUUGGGAAUGCUGCUCUAACGGGAGGUAUACUCCUUCCAAGGCUAAAUACCGGCUGGAGACCGAUAGCGCACAAGUAGAGUGAUCGAAAGAUGAAAAGCACUUUGAAAAGAGAGUCAAACAGCACGUGAAAUUGUUAAAAGGGAAGCGCUCGCUACCAGACUUGGGUUCGGCGGUUCAACCGGGGCCACGCCCCGGGGCAUUCCGCCGGCCCAGGCCAGCAUCAGCUUUCCGUCGGGGGUAAAGGCGUCGGGAAUGUGGCUCCCCUUCGGGGGAGUGUUAUAGCCCGUCGUGUCAUACCCUUCGGGGGGCUGAGGUACGCGCUUCUGCAAGGAUGCUGGCGUAAUGGUAGCUAGUGACCCGUCUUGAAACACGGACCAAGGAGUCAACCUUAUGUGCGAGUGCCCGGGCGUAAAACCCCAGCGCGGAAUGAAAGUGAACGUAGGUGAGAGCUUCGGCGCAUCACCGACCGAUCCUGAUGUCCUCGGACGGAUUUGAGUGAGAGCAUAUAGGGUUGGACCCGAAAGAAGAUGAACUAUGCGUGUGUAGGGUGAAGCCAGAGGAAACUCUGGUGGAGGCUCGCAGCGGUUCUGACGUGCAAAUCGAUCGUCAAACAUGCGCAUGGGGGCGAAAGACUAAUCGAAUCUUCUGGUAGCUGGUUCC